rnacentral:lncRNA from 1 species
UGUUGGACCAGUGCGGACGCGUCCUGGAGUUCGCGUCGAAUCCUGAGUGGAGGCUGCAGCGCGGACGCGGCUUCUC